rnacentral:rRNA from 1 species
UACGUAGGGCGCAAGCGUUGUCCGGAUUUACUGGGCGUAAAGGGCGCGUAGGCGGCCACCGCAAGUCGACUGUGAAAUCUCCGGGCUUAACCCGGAAAGGUCAGCCGAUACUGCGGGGCUAGAGUGCAGAAGGGGCAACUGGAAUUCUCGGUGUAGCGGUGAAAUGCGUAGAUAUCGAGAGGAACACCUGCGGCGAAGGCGGGUUGCUGGGCUGACACUGACGCUGAGGCGCGAAAGCUAGGGGAGCGAACGGG